rnacentral:misc_RNA from 1 species
AACGCACAUUGCGCCCCCUGGCAUUCCGGGGGGCACGCCCGUCCGAGCGUCAUCAUCACCCUCCAGCCUCGCUGGGUUAUGGGCCGCGGGGUCCGCCCCCGCGCCUUGAAUACGUCGGCCGCGCGGUCGCGCCGGAGCGUUGUGAGUAACAACCGCCGCUCCCGGUGCCCGGCUGCGUGGGCCCUGGACCAACCAUCAAAGGUUGACCUCGGAUCGGGCGGGGAUACCCGCUGAACUUAA